UACGUAGGGUGCAAUCGUUGUCCGGAAUUAUUGGGCGUAAAGAGCUCGUAGGCGGUUUGUCGCGUCUGCUGUGAAAACCCGAGGCUCAACCUCGGGCCUGCAGUGGGUACGGGCAGACUAGAGUGCGGUAGGGGAGAUUGGAAUUCCUGGUGUAGCGGUGGAAUGCGCAGAUAUCAGGAGGAACACCAAUGGCGAAGGCAGAUCUCUGGGCCGUAACUGACGCUGAGGAGCGAAAGCAUGGGGAGCGAACAGG
rnacentral:rRNA from 1 species